CAUCCUCAAUAAGAAGUAUAGAAGGGUUACUUAGACUUAUAAGAAGGCCGAGCCCACCGGCACUUAACACCAUCAACAACAGCACAAAGUUAGAACCUGAAAAACAACAGGGAAUAAAACCCUGAGUAUGGAAUUACUCAGCAAGUCUUACCCGACUAAAGAAAAGACUCUCAAGGGUAUGCUGGCUUAAGGGUGUCAAGGUAAGGCUUCUCAAUAAUCAAGGACUCUGUUUUGCAGAAAUGCUUACUAAAAGUGGAUCCUUAAAAAUCCAGUUUUAUUUGUCAAGUUAAGUAAAAUUACCUGCACUAGAGUUCUUUCUACCCUAGUUCAAUCACUUGACCUGCACUAGCCAAUUUCUUAACAAACCCAUCAUCUUUACUGGAUUGCUACGUGUAAGUCAGUGACCAAGUCUUCAUAACCGCGAAGGUACGGCGAUCCGAAUCAAUUAUACUCAGCUGAGGAUCUCCAAUCACACGACAUAUGUAGCACUUAACCCUUGCAUAUGUCAACCCGCCACCGGGGUUCUUAAGACCAGAUCAGGUUCACGCGAACCGAGAGCACAGAUACACCACCGUCCAGUCUCUUGCCACGGAGGGUACACGCUACUCUCGCCACCGCUCCACUGUCGGCGUUUCGAGACCGGGGGGUCCAUGAGCCGACGAGUGAGUGUGCCGCGUGCCCCAGCCCAGAUGGGUCGAGCGCGUGGGCGAGCGCGAAGGGGGGAGAAGCGAGGUGGCCGGAGAUGGGCGUGAGAGAGGUGGAAAUCCCGCGGCCUUCGUGUUCGUCCCGCGCCCAGGUCGGGUGCGCUUGCAGUAGGGGGUUACAAGCGUCCACGCGGGUGAGGGAAGCGAGCGGCCCCAAGAGAGCGCCUGUCCCGUCCUCGUCCCCGCGCGGCCAACCUUCUCUAAGAAGGCCCUAGUCCUUCCUUUUAUAGGCGUAAGGAGAGGAUCCAGGUGUACAAUGGGGGUGUAGCAGAGUGCUACGUGUCUAGCGGAGGGAGAGCUAGCGCCCUAAGUACAUGCCAAUGUGGCAGCCGGAGAGAUCUUGGCACCCUGCUGGCGUGAUGUCGUGGCUGUCGGAGGGGCAACGGAGCCUGGCGGAGGGACAGCUGUCGGAGCGGUCGAGUCCUUGCUGACGCCCCCCUGCUUCCGUAAGAGAGCUGAGAGCCGCCGUCGUCACAGAGCUUGUGGGGCGCCAUCAUUGCCCAUCUGGCGGAGCUAGCCAGAUGGGACACCGGUCUUGUUCUCCGUGACCCGAGUCGGCUCGGGGUAGGAUGAUGAUGGCGCUUCCCGUUGACGUGGCGGGCCUGUGCCCUAGGUCGGGCGAUGUGGGGGCUCCUCCGAAGCCGAGGUCGAAUCUGUCUUCCGUGGCCGAGGCCGAGCCCGAGCCCCUGGGUCGGGCGAGGCGGAGAUCGUUCGGCAGAGGCCAGGGCGGAGUCCGAGCCCUGGGGUCGGGCGAAGCGGAGUUCAUCGUCUUCUGGGGCUGAGCCCGAGUCCGAGCCCUGGGUCGGGCGGAGCGGAGUUCGCCGUCUUCCGGGUCUUAGCCCGAGUCCGAGCCCUGGGGUCGGGCGGAGCGGAGUUCGCCGUCUUCCGGGUCUUAGCCCGAGUCCGAGCCCUGGGUCGGGCGGAGCGGAGUUCGCCGUCUUCCGGGUCUUAGCCCGAGUCCGAGCCCUGGGUCGGGCGGAGCGGAGUUCGCCGUCUUCCGGGGCUUAGCCCGAGUCCGAGCCCUGGGUCGGGCGGAGCGGAGCUUCCUAUGGCGCCUUUGGCAAGGCCUGGCUGCCUGUCAGACUCACUCUGUCGAGUGGCACUGCAGUCGGAGUGGCGCAAGCGGCGCUGUCCUUCUGUCAGACCGGUCAGUGGAGCGGCGGAGUGACGGCGGUCACUUCGGCUCUGCCGGGGGGCGCGCGUCAGGAUAAAGGUGUCAGGCCACCUUUGCGUUAAAUGCUCCUGCAACUCGGUCAGUCGGUGCGGUGAUUUAGUCAGGGUUGCUUCUUAGCGAAGCCAAGGCCUCGGGCGAGCCGGAGAUGUGUCCGCCGUUAAAAGGGGGGCCUCGGGCGAGACGGAAGUCCCUCGAGGUCGGCUGCCCUUGUCCGAGGCUAGGCUCGGGCGAAGCGUGAUCGAGUCCCUCGUAUGGACUGAUCCCUGACUUAAUCUCACCCAUCAGGCCUCUGCAGCUUUAUGCUGAUGGGGGUUACCAGCUGAGAAUUAGGCGUCUUAAGGGUACCCCUAAUUAUGGUCCCCGACAGUAGCCCCCGAGCCUCGAAGGGAGUGUUAGCACUCGCUUGGAGGCUUUCGUCGCAUUUUUUUGCAAGGGGACCAGCCUUUCUCGGUUGCAUUUUGUUCCGGUGGGUGCGCGCGAGCGCACCCGCCGGGUGUAGCCCCCGAGGCCUCGGAGGAGUGGUUUCACUCCUUCGAGGCCUUAAUGCCUUGCGUAAUGCUUCGGCUGGUCUGGUUGUUCCCUCAUGCGAACUGGUCGUAGCCCGGGUGCACGAUCGGGGCCCAAGCUCUCGGGCUGGUAUGUUGACGCUGUCAACGGUUUGGCCGGAGCCGGGUUUGCGAGAGCAGCCCCCGAGCCUCCGCACAGGGCGAGAGGACGUUCAGGGACAGACUCGGCUUUUUGCAUACGCCCCUACGUCGCCUUUCCGCAAGGAGGAGGGGGGGAGAGCGCCAUGUUACCCUCGAUGGGCACCGAACAUGGUGUCUUCGGUGAGCUGCAAGCGGGUAAUCCGAGUGGACGUCCGUGCCCCGUUCGUUGGGGGUCGGCUAGGGGCCCAGAGGCACGCCCAAAAGUACCUGCGGGUGAUCUGCCGGACCCGGUCCCCUGGCGACGGGGUCCGAGGGCUCGAUGCCUCCCUCCGAUGGGAUUCCGUUACAAGAUCGUUCCCGCUGGUCUCGGAAAUGUCCUAGGGUACCUCGGGAGCGCAGCCCGAGCCUUGGUUAUGUAUCGAACGUACCCCUGGUCAUCCCUCGCUCGGCGUCUGAGGCGACUGUGAACCCUUCGGGGGCCAGCCUUCGAACCCCUGAUCAGUAAUGGGCGCGGAGCCCGAGUAUCCUGAGGCGGCCAUGGAGCCCUUCGGGGGGCCGGCCUUCGAACCCCUGACCAGUAGUGGGUGUCGGGCCCACGCGAUCUGAGGCGACUGUUGAACCCUUCGGAGGGUCAGCCUUCGAACCUCUGAUCAGUAGGGGGGGCUCGGAGCCCGGUUCCUUCACAGAGAAGGAUCCUUUUCGGGGUAUCCCCCUUUCCCGGCUCCUGUUGCAAGAGAUAGAGAAAGAGGAAAAAGGAAAAGGAUACGAAAUCGAACGACGUGGCGUACCUUUUUUGGCGCGGUUAUUACGGCGAAGGCGAAGCGUCGCCCGCUUCUCCUGCCAGAGGCGCCGCCUGUCCCGCCGCAGAGUUAAUGCGACGGGGCGAGUGGUUGGCGGGGCGGCCGUUGCGCGUGCGCGAGCCGUUCGAGGAACGGCUGUUUCGCCUCGCGUUUUUUGAAUCCCGCGUCCGGUCCGGGCGGAGCGCUGGAAACGGUUUCGCCCUGGCUUUCAUAUACUCGAGAGGGGGUCUGGUGACGGUUCUUUGCUCUGCUUCCUGCUUCUCCCUUUAGGUUUUCGCAACCCGAGAAACUUUAGUCGGAGAAGAGAAAAACCGCCCUUCCUGCCCCCCGCGCCGCCAUCCCUUCCAUUUUGGUGAUGGCUGAUCGGGUGACCAUAAUCUCCCCGCGCGAUCCGUGGCCCUUUUCCACGGUGACAGCGAGCGAUCUGGAGGAGCUGGUCGGCGAGGGUUUGCUUCGCCCUCUCACCGAUAAGCAGCGGCCAGAGUGGAUUCCCCCCGUGGGCGGAGUCGCUCCAUCCCCACCGCCGGGGUACGUCGUGAGCUUCGUUUCCUUCCAUGAGCGGGGAUUCGGCGUGCCGACGGGCCGCUUUAUGCGGGCAAUCCUGUUCCACUAUGGGGUGGAGUUGCAUAACCUCACCCCCAACUCCAUCUCGCAGGCCGCUAUCUUUGUAGCGGUGUGCGAAGGGUAUUUGGGGAUCGCCCUCCAUUGGGAUUUGUGGACUCAUCUCUUCCUCGCCGAGCCUUUCGCCUUGCCGACGGGGGAGAGGAGGGUCCGUGCAGCGGUGCGGGCCGGCGGCUGCACUCUCUUGCUGAGGCAGUCGCGGGCGUCGCAGUACAUCCCUGCCAUCCUCGCGUCUUCGAACAAGCGGCGGCAGCGCCAGUGGUUCUACCUCCGGAAUGACGGUGAGUUGCUCCCACCGUUCUCCCAGCGAGUAGUCACCGCCGCUACCGACGCCUGGCGUCACGGGACCCCGCACGAGAGACAGAAAAAUCUCGAACCCCUUCUCCAGGCCCUGAAGGCGUUGCGGGAGGGGGGACUCACCGCUGCGGGAGUGGUCGCCGCCAUCCAUCGUCGGAGGGUGCUUCCCUUGGCGGAGCGGCGGCUGCCGCUUUGGGAUAUGACCCCGGAGGCUGACUGGGAGGGCUCGCGAAUGUCCCCUGAUCCUCUUCCCUUCGACACCCUCCAAUGGCGGGUGUCGGCUGCGAUGGGGAAGCCGGACCCCCACGCCUACUCCCAGCUUCGGAUGCGCCCCGACCAGGGGUGUGUAACUUUGGUGAGUGUUCGCUCCUUCCUUCUUCAUACAUCGGGUUGCUCCGGGUCCUUAUGAUCGGGUUCCUUUCUUCCCUUCUUUUAGGAGGUGGGGUGGCACAAGCCCUCCCUGCCACAGGUCCCGGAGGACGCGGUGGACCGUGCAGCACGGCGGGUCGCCGCGGAGGAGAAGAAGAAGAAGAAGGACGCGGAGAAGGCCCAGGCCCGCGAGCGGAGGCGGGCUCGGGACGCCUUGGAGAAGCGUCGUCGCCAGCAGGAGAGGGAAGGACUCCCGAGGGAGCCGUCGCCGGAGACGCCCGACGACGACGAUGACGACGAUGAUGAGGAGGAGGACGACAUGGCCGCCCGUCUCGGCCUCAGCCCCGGCUUGGGGUGUGGCCAGGAGCCGUCGAGCCAGCCCCCGAGCGGGCCGACACCAUCAGUCCCCGGAGUUGGGGCGUCGGGGUCCCAGCCCGAGGCACGGGGGCGACCCGAGAGGUCCCCUGAUCCCUCGUCCGGAGGAGCUGAGGUGGCUCCGGAGGGCCAGGUCAGGGCAUCUGCUCCCCAGGGGCCGCCGCUCGUACCGGCGGCGCAUGGGGGUGAUCCUCAGGUCAUCGCGACCGCGCCCGGGCAAUCUGCUCCCCGGGCGUCCAAAGCAAGGGUGGCGCCGAAGAUGCUCGCGAAGCGGACCUCGGCGGCUGUCUUGGGAGCCGGGAUUCAAGAGACCUCCCCCCAGGCGCGGUGGAUAAUGGCCCGAAGUGGGUGAGUAUCUCAGAAUGUCUUCGUCUUGGCUUCCCGUUCAUAUGUCUCGGCCGUGAUUUUCCUUUCCUCUUUUUUUUAUAUCCAGCAAGCGAAGCCAUGGCCAGACCGACCUGGCACCCCGAAAGGCCCUCAAGACGGCGCCAGACUGUGCGGCCAGCGCCGCCCCGGGCCUUGUCAUUCAGCCGACCCUUUCGCGGGGUACUUCACCGCAGGGGGCUCGGGCGUCGCCUGUCUCUGGGGAGCGGGCUCCCGAGGCCGGCUCUUCUGCCGAGGCGGCCAUCGUGGUUGGGGAGGCGGCUGACGCCGACGUGGUCCCGAGCCCGCCUGUCGUGCCGGCCAUGCUGGCGCCCGCCACCGCCGAAGUUGCCGCCGUCCCUGUCGGAGAGCGACCAGUUGCCGCCAGCGUCGGGAUGGCUGAUGCGUCGGCGCCCAGUGCCUCAGAAGAGGUGGGCGUGGACGCGCGAUCCGUCCAGCCGGGUGGCAGCCUUAUCGCUGUGCGGCGGAGCCCCGAGGCCCGGCGCCCGUUGCUCCGAUUCCGGACCCACGAGGCCUCGGACCCUUUCUUCGUUCUCGACGAUGAACAGGAGGACCAGUCCUGGGAUGAGCUCCGCGAGCGUGCUGAAGCAACGGUGGGGUCGCUCCGGUCGUCGCUGGAGGUUUUCUGCAGAGACGUCCCCAAAAUCCUCCAGGUAGCGGUUUCAGGCAUACCUUUUUCCUUCUGUGAGCGAGACACUCGUCGUGACGCCCUGUUUCCUUUCCCCAGGAUCUGACGGACCGGAGCGCCGCCAAGUCGUCGUUCAUCCGCCGCGAGGUCGAUGUCUGGGGCUCGCUGCGAUCCCUGAGGACCUCGCUCGCCGGGGCUACCGCGCGCCUUUCUCAGCAGGAUGCCAAGGUAGUGGACCUCCAGUUGCUCUGCGCUGACCUGAGAGCCGAGGCGGCAGCAGCGCGUGCGGAGGCGCAACGGCAGCGAUCGGAGCUUGUCCAGGUCGUCGAGGAGCGGGACCAAUCUCGGGGCCGGGCUGCCGAGGCCGAAAGCCGAGCUGAGACCCUCGCGGCCGACCUAGCCGCGGCCCAGGUCGCGGCCUCGGAGCAGCGUGCCCGAGUCGGAGGUACGCCUUGGCCCUCCCUGGUUCUUGUUCUUGUCCGUUUCCCCUGCUUGUGCUUGAGGUCUUUCUCCUGGUUGUUCGCAGAGCUCGAGUCCGCCCUUGACGAGUCCGCCAAGGCGCUCGCCGAGGCGCUUGCCGGAGCUGCCGAGCAGAGGGAAGCUGACCUCGCGGCCAUGUCCGAGGCCGUCUCGGACGUUUAUCGUAUCCUCGGCUCCGGCGACGUCCCUUCAGGAAGCUCCCCUCAAAGCCGCCUUCAAGCCUUGGGUGAUCACGCGCGCGGCAGAGUCCGCGAGGCGCUACACCACGGCGUCAGGCGGGCCUUCGCCGUGCUUGCUUCCCACUACGUUGUGGACCUGGAGCGGGUUAGUGAGGGGUACUGUCUUCCUGACGAAGACGAAGCUGCCCUGGCAGAAGUCCAGCGGCUCGACGCGGUCGCCGCGGGUCCGAGCGCGGCGCUGGCGACCACCUUUGAGGCGGAGAUCCUUCCCCCUGCGCCGUCACCGGAGGCCGAGAUGGACCUUACCGACGGCGGGGACGGGGCUGAGGGCGCGGCUCCUUCCCAAGGCGGCGCCUAAUUCUUGUUGGAACAAUUUCUUGUUGGAUGUGCGUCUCACCGCGGCCGCUGAGGCCUGAACACUUUGUCUUUCUUGCAUGAAGUCGUACUCUCCUUUCUUUCCAUUUGCGUGUCCGUCCUAGCUUGUCAAUAAUAGGGUGGCUUCCCGAGUUGGGUCAUUCUUCGUGGCAGGUGAUGAGUGAGGUAUCCCUAACCCGGAGGCACAGGAGUUCCUCGGCUCAGUCGGCCUCGCCAUUUACAUGUACCCACAUUCGCUCCUCGAGACCCUGCUUCUGACAUAGCCGGGAGAACGCGAAAGGCCCCUUUUUUGAUUGAAAAUUUUUGAUGCGGAGAAGUACACCCAAUCUCGACGCAGAGGGGUUCCCCCUUUUUAGCCCCCGAUGGAGGGUCGGGCUCUGCCGAGGCGAGGCCGACCCUUCCUUGAUGACCGAGGCGUAGAGGCUGCCUGACGGGUCGGGCUCCGGCCCGAAUAUCCAGCGAGUGCUCGGCGACAUCCCUCGGUAUGCCGGGCAUGUCCGAGGGACUCCACGCAAAGACGUCGGCGUUUGCACGGAGAAAGUCGACGACCACUGCUUCCUGUUUGGGGUCAAGCCCGGAACCAAUCCGGAUCUGCUUGGAGGUGUCGCCACUGGGGUCGAGAGGGACGGCCUUAACCGUCUCCGCUGGCUCGAAGUUGCCGGCAUGACGCUUCACGUCUGGCACCUCUUUGGAGAGGUUCUCCAGGUCGGCGAUGAGGGCCUCGGACUCGGCGAGGGCCUCGGCGUACUCCACGCACUCCACGUCGCAUUCGAACGCGUGUUUGUACGUGGGGCCGACGGUGAUGACCCCGUUGGGGCCCGGCAUCUUGAGCUUUCAGGUAGGUGUAGUUGGGGACGGCCAUGAACUUCGCGUAGCAUGGCCUCCCCAGUACCGCGUGGUAGGUUCCUCGGAACCCGACCACCUCGAACGUCAAGGUAUCCCUUCGGAAGUUGGAGGGCGUUCCGAAGCAGACGGGAAGGUCGAGUCGUCCGAGGGGCUGGACGCGCUUCCCAGGUACGAUCCCGUGGAAGGGCGCAGCGCCUGCCCGGACGGAGGACAGAUCGACGCGCAGGAGCCUGAGGGUCUCGGCGUAGAUGAUGUUGAGGCAGCUGCCCCCAUCCAUCAGGACCUUGGUGAGCCUGACGUCGCCGAUGAUGGGGUCGACGACGAGCGGGUACUUUCCCGGGCUCGGCACGUGGUCGGGGUGGUCAGCUUGGUCGAAGGUGACGGGCUUGUCGGACCAGUCUAGGUAGACUGGCGCCGCCACCUUCACCGAGCAGACCUCCCGGCGCUCUUGCUUGCGAUGCCGAGCCGGGGCAUUCGCCGCAUGCCCACCGUAGAUCAUGAAGCAGUCACGAACCUCGGGGAAUUCUCCUGCUUGGUGAUCUUCGUUUUUGUCGUCGUCGCGGACCCUGCCACCCUCUGCGGGUGGCCCGGCCCUGUGGAAGUGGCGCCGAAGCAUGACGCACUCCUCGAGGGUGUGCUUGACGGGCCCCUGAUGGUAGGGGCACGGCUCCUUGAGCAUCCUGUCGAAGAGGUUAGCACCUCCAGGGGGCUUCCGAGGGUUCUUGUACUUGGCGGCGGCGACAAGGUCCGCGUCAGCGGCGUCGCGUUUCGAUUGCGACUUCUUCUUGCCCUUCUUCUUGGCGCCGCGCGGAGUAGACGCCUCGGGAGCCUCUUCCCAUGGGCGGCCCUGGGGCUGCUUGUCCUUUCGGAAGAUAGCCUCAACCGCCUCCUGGCCAGAGGCGAACUUGGUGGCGAUGUCCAUCAGCUCGCUCGCCCUGGUGGGGGUCUUGCGACCCAACUUACUCACCAGGUCGCGGCAGGUGGUGCCGGCAAGGAACGCGCCGAUGACAUCCGAGUCGGUGAUGUUGGGCAGCUCGGUGCGCUGCUUCGAGAAUCGCCGGAUGUAGUCCCGGAGAGACUCUCCCGGCUGUUGCCGGCAGCUCCGGAGGUCCCAGGAAUUCCCGGGGCGCACGUACGUGCCCUGGAAAUUGCCGGCGAAGGCUUGGACCAGGUCGUCCCAAUUGGAGAUCUGUCCUGGAGGCAGGUGCUCCAACCAGGCGCGAGCAGUGUCGGAGAGGAACAGGGGAAGGUUGCGGAUGAUGAGGUUGUCGUCGUCCGUUCCUCCCAGUUGGCAGGCCAGGCGGUAGUUCGCGAGCCACAGUUCCGGCCUCGUUUCCCCCGAGUACUUUGUGAUAGUAGUCGGGGGUCGGAACCGGGUCGGGAACGACGCCCGUCGGAUGGCCCGACUGAAGGCCUGCGGACCGGGUGGUUCGGGCGAGGGACUCCGUCCUCCCCGCUGUCGUAGCGCCCCCCACGCCUGGGGUGGUAGCCUCGGCGCACCCUUUCGUCGAGGUGGGCCCGACGGUCGCGAUGGUGGUGCUCGUUGCCGAGGUGGCCCGGGGCCGCAGGCGCGGUGUUGCGCGUGCGCCCGGUGUAGACCGAGGCUUCCCGCAUGAAUCGGGAAGUCGCGGCGUGAGGUUCCGAGGGGUAUCCCUGCCUUUGGGAGGCAGUGCUCUCGGCCCGUCGGGCCGCGGCGCCUUCCAGGAGAUUCUUGAGCUCUCCCUGGAUUCGCCGACCCUCGGUGGUUGAUGGCUCCGGCAUCGCGCGGAGGAGCAUCGCUGCGGCUGCCAGGUUCUGACCAACCCCGCUGGAUGCGGGCGGCGGCCUGACCCUGACAUCGUUGGCGACGCGGUGCUGGAGACCCUGGGGCAGGUGACGUAUUUCUCCGGCCGGGGGUUGGCCCGCCCAUACCUGCCCGACGUCCCGGCGGAUCGUCUCAAGCGCCCCUGUUCCCUCGUCGAGCCUGGCCUAAGCCCCGCGGACUUGCUCGAGCUGUGGGUCGUGACCCCCCGCCGGAACGGGGACCACAGCUAGCUCCCGCGGGAUGUCGGCGCGAGGCACCGGCCUAGAAAAAUCACCGUCCUCCGGCAUGCCAAGAUGGUUGCCUUCGGAGGGAUCCCCUAGCUCGACGUGGAAACAUUCGCGGCUUGGGCCGCAGUCCUCGUCGUCAAGGCUGCGGCUUCCGUCGGAACAGUCGGAGAGGCAGUAGUCACAUGCGGUCAUGAAGUCCCGCAUGGCACUGGGGUUGCCAAAUCCAGAGAAAUCCCAACAGAUGCUGGGAUCGUCAUCUUCCUCGGACCCAGAGGGCCCGUAGGUCGAGACGUCCGUCAAUCGGUCCCAAGGCGACCGCAUACGAAACCCCAGUGGGGUUGCACUCGCCUCAAUGAGAGCGCCCGCCAAAGCGAGGUCGCUUGGCGGGUUGAGGCCGAGUCGAAAAGACGUAGGAUGGGAAUUAGUCAGUACCUUUUGGUCGACGCGGAGCGACGUAGUCACAUCGGGGACUGGUUGCACCGUCAUCUCAGGUACGAGGGCAACGUCCUGCAAGCUCUCCGCGAGUGCGCCGGCGUCGUCCACUUGUUCGGGAUUAGCGUGUCGCGGGGGGAUGGCGCUCGCCUUCGUCUUGAACGCGAGGUCGACGUUCGGUGUGCCUUCCGUCGGGGCGCUGGGGAUGUCGAUUCGCUCGACAGCCGACGAAGCGCGGCCUCCCGCUUGGCCUUGGUUGCCCCGCCUCCUCCUCCGUUGGUGGGGGAGAGGACGGGGCGAGCUCGAAUGUUGUUCUUCCACCGCGCGGGGAAGAUGUCGUCGGUUCCGCCGCCGGCAGGGCGGGAUGUCGGCCGCCAUUGUCGUUGUCGCGCGGCGGUGGAAGGAGUAUCAUGUCGUAGCUGCCUUCGAAGGACAUGAACUCAAGACUCCCGAAACGGAGCACUGUCCUGGGCCGGAGAGGUUGCUGGAGACUGCCCAUCUGGAGCUUGACGGGAAGUUGUUCGUCAGCACGCAGCAGGCCCCUACCUGGCGCGCCAACUGUUGGCGUUUCGAGACCGGGGGGUCCCUGAGCCGACGAGUGAGUGUGCCGCGUGCCCCAGCCCAGAUGGGUCGAGCGCGUGGGCGAGCGCGAAGGGGGGAGAAGCGAGGUGGCCGGAGACGGGCGUGAGAGAGGUGGAAAUCCCGCGGCCUUCGUGUUCGUCCCGCGCCCAGGUCGGGUGCGCUUGCAGUAGGGGGUUACAAGCGUCCACGCGGGUGAGGGAAGCGAGCGGCCCCAAGAGAGCGCCUGUCCCGUCCUCGUCCCCGCGCGGCCAACCUUCUCUAAGAAGGCCCUGGUCCUUCCUUUUAUAGGCGUAAGGAGAGGAUCCAGGUGUACAAUGGGGGUGUAGCAGAGUGCUACGUGUCUAGCGGAGGGAGAGCUAGCGCCCUAAGUACAUGCCAAUUUGGCAGCCGGAGAGAUCUUGGCACCCUGCUGGCGUGAUGUCGUGGCUGUCGGAGGGGCAACGGAGCCUGACGGAGGGACAGCUGUCGGAGCGGUCGAGUCCUUGCUGACGUCCCCCUGCUUCCGUAAGAGAGCUGAGAGCUGCCGUCGUCACAGAGCUUGUGGGGCGCCAUCAUUGCCCAUCUGGCGGAGCUAGCCAGAUGGGACACCGGUCUUGUUCUCCGUGACCCGAGUCGGCUCGGGGUAGGAUGAUGAUGGCGCUUCCCGUUGACGUGGCGGGCCUGUGCCCUAGGUCGGGCGACGUGGGGGCUCCUCCGAAGCCGAGGUCGAAUCUGUCUUCCGUGGCCGAGGCCGAGCCCGAGCCCCUAGGUCGGGCGAGGCGGAGAUCGUUCGGCAAAGGCCAGGGCGGAGUCCGAGCCCUGGGGUCGGGCGAAGCGGAGUUCGUCGUCUUCUGGGGCUGAGCCCGAGUCCGAGCCCUAGGUCGGGCGGAGCGGAGUUCGCCGUCUUCCAGGUCUUAGCCCGAGUCCGAGCCCUGGGGUCGGGCGGAGCGGAGUUCGCCGUCUUCCGGGUCUUAGCCCGAGUCCGAGCCCUGGGUCGGGCGGAGCGGAGUUCGCCGUCUUCCGGGUCUUAGCCCGAGUCCGAGCCCUGGGUCGGGCGGAGCGGAGUUCGCCGUCUUCCGGGGCUUAGCCCGAGUCCGAGCCCUGGGUCGGGCGGAGCGGAGCUUCCUAUGGCGCCUUUGGCAAGGCCUGGCUGCCUGUCAGACUCACUCUGUCGAGUGGCACUGCAGUCGGAGUGGCGCAAGCGGCGCUGUCCUUCUGUCAGACCGGUCAGUGGAGCGGCGGAGUGACGGCGGUCACUUCGGCUCUGCCGGGGGGCGCGCGUCAGGAUAAAGGUGUCAGGCCACCUUUGCGUUAAAUGCUCCUGCAACUCGGUCAGUCGGUGCGGCGAUUUAGUCAGGGUUGCUUCUUAGCGAAGCCAAGGCCUCGGGCGAGCCGGAGAUGUGUCCGCCGUUAAAAGGGGGGCCUCGGGCGAGACGGAAGUCCCUCGAGGUCGGCUGCCCUUGUCCGAGGCUAGGCUCGGGCGAAGCGUGAUCGAGUCACUCGUAUGGAUUGAUCCCUGACUUAAUCGCACCCAUCAGGUCUCUGCAGCUUUAUGCUGAUGGGGGUUACCAGCUGAGAAUUAGGCGUCUUGAGGGUACCCCUAAUUAUGGUCCCCGACAACGCCCAUUCCAUGUUAUCUUAUUCUGGCCUUAGUCUGCCCGAGGGAAGGCUUACCCAUGAUGAGGCAUGUGACCAGUUAAAGGGUCCUCGGUCAGCAGGCCUACAUCGAGACGGUCCUUAAUCGACUCAGACGGAGACACUACACCGAGACUCUCUUCUCGUGCAAGUCACCCGCCCGGUCUCAGCUUAAUCAUUUCAACCCAAAAACUUGGUACCUGGCAGAGGUACAUCUUUUCCGAUGUUGAAUCUUCACCAUCAAGUUUUAUUUUUGAAAACAAUCCUCCCACUUUGCCAAACAUCUUUUGUAAAACAAAUCCUUUUGUUUUUCUAGAGCAAUACUAAGCAUAGUAAAAUCUUUUUGUAAAAACAGGGUUUCAAGGAGGGUAAUCAAGUUCAAGGAAGGUAAUGCAGGAAUUGUUUAAGCAUUCAACUCCUAUCACCUAAUGCAGCAAGCAAGUGAGAAAGAUUUUAAAAACAUCAAGGAAGGUGGCAAAUGCACCGGGGCUUGCCUGAGUAACCAUAGGUUAGUGUUUGUUAGGCGAUGUCCACUUGACGAGUAUCCCUCGACCGAGCACUUGCUUGAUUUAACCAUCUUCAGGUUGGUCCAUUAGCUUCAUCCUGCGGAUUAGCCCACGCUUGGGGUCGACUUGGGUCGUCUUCCGCAUCACGCGAUUAAUUAACG
rnacentral:lncRNA from 1 species